UAGUUUAGCAGAUAUCAGUUUCAGGCUCAUAAACCUUUCACUGAAGUAACGUUUCACUGGAGGCAGAAAUGACCUCAUUGAGCUGAGUGGUUACUGUGUUGAGCCAAAGAACCACAGUUUUUUCAGAACAGAAAUUAAUAAAAUGGAAAACAUCCAUGGUGAGGUAGAAAAUGUGUUAAAGAUAUUAAUAAAUACAAAGGCAAUGCCAUCUUUUUUCAGUCAUUCAUAACUAUGUGAAACUGAAAAGUUAGCACACUGUCUUAAACAAGUUGGGUAGGUCAAUUUACAAGUUGAAUUUGGAGGGUAUACUAUGUCACUACUUCAUUUUACAGCAAAAAAAAAACCUUCUUUGGCUUCUUCUUUUCACAAGCCUGGUAUAGCCACACACACAUGCAUUUCCACGGCAGCUUCACAGCAGGGAAUCACCAUGCUGAACAGCUCUUUUGUGGUCCUACUUGGUAGCGGGGCCGACCGGGGCCAAUCUGUACAUUCACCUCCAUCAAAUCCAAGCGUCGUCUUGUGCUUAACUGACUGACUCAACACAUGUGUGGUUGUGUUAGUAACUAUAGAGAAAGCACUGUUAAGCCUCUCUGUGUUCAGCUCUCUGAACAGUUUAGUUUCACUUAUAUGUUCUUGUUUGUUCUAUUAAGAUCAGCCUUAUUACUUUUAACUUCUUCAGCCAUAUUGAAGCUGCGUGAAGUUACUGCUGAUGCAAACCGACCAUACCUGCUGCUGCUUCACAUUAAAAGCCUUCCAUAAGCAAACUAGUUAAAUGAUUUUAUUAUGAAGGAGCUGGAAAUUGGAAAUGCAAUGUAUUUGUCACAGAGUUACAUAGCUGAACUCUUAUGUAGCGGUGCUAGGAUGUUAAAUAAAAAAAUGGUCAACACAACAAUAUAUUUGGUCAGCUGAAAUAUUGCAAGGAAGGAUGGGUAAAGAAGAAACAGUCACAGAGAGCUACUAAAGUAUUCAGACUUUAGGAUCAGUUCAUCUGAACUACAGCGAUUGUGAAGUUUAGAAAAUCCUUGGCUGUACUGCAAUCCCUAUCUUCACAGUACAUUUUCUUAUGAGGAUGAAGCCAACUUGUGGCUGAUGAUGCAGACAGGCUGCAGACGUCAUCACUUCCCUCGGGAAGGCAACCUAUUUUUACCACUGGGCACAAAGUAUACCAAGCUGCCCAACAUAUUUCUGGAACCGCAUCUAAUCCCAGCCUUCCAGAAAAACAUCUCUCCCCACGCUCUGCAUCUCUCUCUCCAUUCAUCUCACAGACAUGCUGUUCCUUCCAAGGCAUAUUUUUAUCCCUUGAAUUGAGAUGACAGCACUUGUGAAGGUAAAGAAAAAAGAAAGCCAAGUGGACUUGAAAAAUGUACAAAGCUUCUGCACACUACCGCAAAUCAAGAAAGUGCUGGAUCAAAGCAUCUGUAAACUUAGCUCAUGUCGCACACUGGGUGUUUUCAAAAGAGAUAAGUGUACUGAUGCUUUGCCUUCUUUCCAAGGUGGACCAAAAUUCACUGUGUUAUCUGAUAUGGGCCUAAAUGUGGCAAAUGAAGGUGGUGCAUAUACUCAAGGUUUAAACAGUAACAUGGUGAUCUUGAUGAGUAAUUCUCUGCAAAAACAGAUGUUAAAGACAAAAGAAAAGAGACCAAACUAAUGUUGAUAACUACUUGUUAAUGUUAUCAAUUGUUGUUGUGUAGUUGCUGUGAAUAUAAUAAAUAAUAAAAGGUAGAGGUAUUUACCACUUUGAAGGACACACCCAGACCACCUUAUGAAAUGGCUAGUUAAGCUUUCAUGAACAGUACUUUCAAAUGAGUAACACAUGGGUGGCGCCAGGGCAUCAUACAUGGGGAGGUUAAAAUUUCCUGUAUUUUCAUUGUACAAAAUAAGGGCUAUGGCUCCUAUGCUUCUUCCAUUCUCUCUCCUUUAGUUUUACGGGGGUACACUAGUGGAAACAAGCAACACUGUUCAGAUUCACCUGUGACAGAAACCUGGUAGACAAAUAUGUUCCCCAUUAUCCGCAGAGCCAGGACACACACUGACAGUCCCUAUAGUAUUAUACUGUAUUGAGAAAAAUAUCAUUAAGCAUAAGAUACAGGAGGUUUGAAUCACGAGGUAAAGAAUCAGUACAGAGACAGUGAAGUACUACACGUUACCUAUGUUAAACUCACUAUGAAGUCAUUAGAUGUUCUUGGUCCCUAUAUAUAUUGUAGAUGCAGUUACUGCUUUUCAUGACAGAAAAAUAUGUAUAGUACUCAUAAAACAAAAUUUACAGUGUUUAUGUGCUGCUGCUUCCCUUUUGUGGGGGUUUUGUACCUACCUGUUCUGCUGGACUUGGACUGGACUGGCAAGUGCUGGUCUGUGCUUAAUCCUACUGAGGGAAUCCAUAUUUCAGGACGUGGAAACCACCCUUCAAAUAAGACAGUCAUGAGCGACCGCCUCCUUAUCUCUUUUCCUUUCAUUUCAUCCUUUUCUGUCCACAGUUGUGUUUGCUGGUCAGUAUUCCUUCAACUACAAUGUUUCCUAGUUCAAACAGACACAUAUAUAAAGAAUAUCUAGCCUCAGUGGUGGAAGAAGUACUCAGAUCUUUUACUUAAGUGAAAGUAGCAAUACCACAGUGUAAAAAUACUCUGUUGGAAGUAAAAGUCAAGCACUCAAAAUUUUAAUAGUACAAAAGUAUGAGCAUCAAAAUACACUAGUAAAGGUUCUCAUUAUGCAGACUGGCCCAUUUUAGAAUAUAUUACUGGAUUAUAAUUACGGAUGCAUUAAUGUGUACACAUCACUUUAAUGUGGCAGCUGAUAAAGGCGAGGCUAAUAGUUAUUUCUAAAUCUGUAAUAAUACAUCAUAAUUUAUUUGUUGAUUAUAUUUUGUAUUAUUAAUCUGAAUCUGUAGUAACUGUCGUUAGUAACUAAAGUUACUUAAUAAAUGUAGUGGAGUAAAAAGUACAAUAUUUGCCUACGAAUUGUGUGGAGUAGAAGUAUAACGUAGCAGAAAAUGGAAAUACUAGUAAAUUGUACAUAAGUACUGUACUUGAGUGAAUGUACUUAGUUACUUUCCACCACUGUUUAGCCUUUUAGAUACAGCCUGAAGCAAGUAGCUAAAGCUAGCUAGCUAGCUAACAACUGUAACGCAAACCUGUUGGUGGGUAACAUUUAGGUUAGGUAGCUAGCUAGUUAGCAACAAUUAUAAGUGCUGAGUAAACAAUAAACAAUAAAUACCUGUAAGAUAAAAUGGCCUUUAGUUUCAUGGUGGUAAAUUGGCAGUAACCACCUAGAGUUACCCAGUGAUGCCAAAACUACUUUAACUAUUCUUCAAAAUAAGACGGUGUAGUCCCUCAUUCAUCUACGAUACUUUAACUAUUGUAACAUUAAUACCAAUUGAUGGUGUUUAUAUAGCUGUUAGCUAAUCUCCACAACAUGUUAGCACACUUUACAGUAAUUUAAGCUAGCGUUAAAUAUAUUAAAAAAGUAAAGUUAGCUAAAUAUUGCUCAGAAUUACUGUUCAAAAACCCAAGGCCUGACAUCAGCUUUAUUGUUUAGGAUAUCAAAUAUCCUAAAUUUUACGUUUUAAACACGAGAUUACUUCAGACAUUAACAUUAAAAAACAUUAGUCAACGUUGAUGCAAGAUCAAUACACUAACAUUAGCUUAGCUAUUGGUGGACGAUUAAUUAAGCUAACAAAAUCAAACGUUAUCUAGCUCUUUUCUGACAAACUACGAAAACAAACAUUUUGUAAAGAUAUUACUUAAACUAUAAAGUUGAUCAUGUGAAAAUCUGUUAUGAGAGUAUGUCUUUUUAAUAAUCACCUAUUAAUUUAUUUAAACCCCACCAUAUCAACGGACAGAGGUGUUGCAUGGACCGGAAGCAGUACUGAACCGUACUGACAGCCGUUGACUGCUCUUCCACUCGUUUUUUUAAAAAUACCUGUCUGAGAACCUUUAGGGAACGUUCUCUAACGUUUUUUUAAAAUAACCUUCUGGCAACGUUCAUAGAAAUUCCUUAAACAGGAACCUUUAGGGGACGUUCCCUAAAAGUUGCAACAAAUAUAACCAAACGGGAAUUUUUAGGGAAUGUUUCCUGAAGGUUACCUGUUUGCUGGGAUGUUAGCUUAUUGUAAAGUCAUUAAACUCUACCAGUCAACAAGAACAAUUAAAAAAUAUUUAUAAAGAAACACAUAUAAUAACACAUAAACAUACAAUAUAAAAAUGUGAUAACUUUGCCCAUUGCUUGAGGGUUUCAGUAGCUUCAUUUAGUCAGUGUUCAGGAAAAGCUUCAUAAAUACAUUGUUAGACAAUGAUUAAGGCAAGUUGAAACCAGGAGACUUUCUGAAUAUGCAAUGCAUGUGCAGAGGAGCAGUAAAUACUAUCAUUAUCAACAACAUUUAUAUCAGGUCAAUUCUGACCUAGAUAUAAACCCAGAAUAAUAGUGGUCCUAGGAUCAAGCCCUGGGACACAUCAUUAUAUACUGCAGGAAACGAAAGUGAUGCCUUCAGCUUGUACACAUUGCACUGAUGAGUAAAAUUGUAAAAUGUAAAGACAAAACAAGACUGAACCCUUCAUAUGAUACAGUAUAUCAUACAUCUGUGUAUGCUAUCCAUACAUGCCAGCCUUUGGGCAAUUUAGAGUAUUUAGGUGGCUUGACUUGCACUUGUUUGGACUGUGGGAGAACAGGAAAACACAGAAAGGAUCAGGGUUGAUAUUCAAACCAACUUUUCUUGCUGUGAGGUGGCAGCAUCAACCACUGAGCCACUGUACCGCCCAGCAGCAGCAGCAGCAGCAGCAGCAGCAGUUUCUGUCCGGAUGUGGCAGAUCAACCUGUUGUCCUCCCACAUUUACUGUAGAGUAGAUGUUUCAUUAUCUUUUAACACAUCCCAGAUAUAUAUGUAGAUAUAGAUAUAGAUAUAGAUAUAAGGCUGAAACUGUGACUAUAACAUCCUGUCUUGUCCUAAAAUUAAAAGUAUGUCUUUGUUGCGACAUUUAGUGUAAAACCUAAAACUAAGCCUCAAGGGUGAAAUAUAAAUUGCAUGAGACAUUAAGAACAUUUUCCCACAAAAGUUCAUUUACAUUUUUCUGUUUCAUAGUCUGGUUGGAAAAUGGAUGGAAACCACCAUUUAAGAUUAAUGAGGCACAUUUCUGUCACUUCUAUCUUUCUUAUUUUCUACUUGGAAAAUAAGAAGAGAUAUUAUUGAUUCUGUGGGACUAUUAGAUUGUUGUAGCUGCAAAAUAAUGAGAAAAAUAAUCUUAUAUUAUGAUUAUCAAGGUAAGCAAGAUAAGCAGGCUAGUAUAGCACUGACUACACCCUCAGUAACAAACUUCAGUCAGGAUCAAAAACAUAAUGUUUAAUAAGCAAGGAAACAGAUAAAAGAAAUUAAUACAUAUAAAUAAAAAAUAAAUAAUAUAGAGUAUGAAUUAAACUGGUUAUAUUGAAAUGUCUUCAUGUGAACUUCAUCUAAAUGUGUCAUAAAGUGACUGUAAAUAUGUAAAUAUGGGGCUACAUUAAUGUGUAAUGUCCCCCCCAUAACAGAAAUACAUACAGUAACUUGUUCUGGGGAAAAAAUAAAUCAAAUGUCGGAUGCUUUUGUCUGUUUUUCUACAACAGAUGAUAUUUAACCAUGAAAAGUUGUAGGCCUGGUGAGGUUUUGUGGUGAAGUGUGUGACAUUGUGUGUUUUUGUGUGUGGGCACAGGUGUGUUUUGUACAAACCCCCAGUACACACACACACACACACACACACACACUGUGUGUGGGGUUCCUACAUCCUCUGUGAGUGUGGAACUUCACCUACACUUUGAAACUACGUCAUCAGGCCCAGUGGAGGAGGUUAGUGUACAUGUAAUACAUGUGACACAAAUACAUGUGUACUUCUACCUGUCAGGAUUGAUAUUCACUUUAUUUACUACUGAACGUUUAGUGCUAAAAAAACAAAAACAAAUUUCAUCCAUCGGUCGAGUCCAUCGGUCAGAGCAUGCUAAUGCCUUUAAGGCUUAAUCUUGUUCUAAAAAUACAUAAAAUAAUUGAUAAUAACUGUAACAGUAGCGGAUGCUUUCUUCGACCAUCAACAUUACAACCAAAAGUCUGGAGGUCCAAACUCACAGCACCACGGCUGCAGAUCAAUAUAUUCAUAUAAACCCAGAAUGAUCAUGUAUGAAAGAUAAGUGCUGCAAAAGGAAGUGAGAUCUAAAAUUAGGUUUUGUUUGACAUCUGUUUUAUUUUUGAGCACACUUGCCCACACAAAGUCUCCACCUUCAAAUCCCGUCUUAAAACACACCUUUUUAAACUGGCAUGUUUGGUCUGAUUCUGUCUCUAAUGGCUACAACCACAGUUUGAGUUUAACACUGAUGAAGAUUAUAUACCUAGUUAUUGUUUUAACUUAUUAUAGUAUAUUACUGCUUUGUUUGAUUUUAUGAUGUCUUGAUACACUGUUGCUUGUUUUUAACUGUGCCUGUAAGGUGUUCUUGAGUGCUUUGAAAGGCACCUAUAAAUAAAAUGCAUUAUUAUUAUUAUUACAUACCUGCCAUUCAGGCACUGUAACAUUGUUGGCCAGGAUCAAGACACAACAUUUAUCUAGUAAACUACUUUGACAUUAUACAAAACUUUUUUUUAUUACAUCCAUGAAAACUUGCCAAACCAGGUGCCAGCGAAACAACAUACAGUAACACUUCACUUAUGCAUUGGGCUUCAUUAGCUUUAAAAAACCUCACAGUAGAUUCAUGAGAAAUUCAUUUGUGAAGGUGAAAGUAAGCCAACUGUUAAAGUAUCUGUUUCACAACAGAAGAUGGAUGCUUGUUUCUAAUACCUUUAAAGGGCCCUUAUCUGCUUUACUCCCCUCCAUUAAUCACAAAUAAUGUACAAGUACAAACCACACAUCUACAUGUUGCUCAAUACAGUACAAAACGUUCUUGAUCUCCUUUGGGCUCCUGCACAGCAGAAAGUGAACUAACCGAUGCCAAGCCUUCCUGACAGCUCAUCACUCUGGGCCCUGACUUGCAGCAUUAACCCACAGUCACUGAUAAAAAAUGACUGCUGGAGGCCUGAGUGUACUCCUCAGCUCAUGUUGACUUGUGUUUGAAGAAUUUAGACCAUUUAGCUGUCACAUGACACACUAUUACAUUAUGAAACACUAAAAGGCUCUUUACUGAGUGUUUUUAAUCUGGAAAACGUUACGAUAAAUGUCAGGAUUCCUCAUCCCAAUGGGGUUAGUGUCAUACUGAAUGGCGAGGGAACAGUUUGUUCUGCAGCACCAUACAGGUAUCUUUUAGCCCAUUGACUAUUGGCAACCAUUUUUAAAACAUACAAUAUUUUUUUAAUUGAUUUCCUACCUGCCAAGCAGUAUGUGGUUCAAUUUCUGUCAGUACUUCUAUAAAUCAAUUAGAUCUGAAACUUCCUUGAGAAAGGUAUCCAUCACCUUAACAUUUGGUGGCGUGGCUCUAGUGAUGGCACUGUCUGUAGUCAGUUGGUCGACACACCUCUUGGUUGGUCCAGAAUGAAAUAUCUUGACAGCCAAUGGAUGGAUUACUAUGCAAUUCAGUACAGACAUUCGGGUUGCCCAGAGGAUGACUUGUUGAUCCCCUGACUUUUCGUCUAGCGCCACAAGCAAGUCAAAGUUUUUGCCAGUUUUUUUCACUUUUAUCCAGUGAAAUAUCUCUACAUCUAAAUCAGGAAAGUCAAUUAUUUUAUUGUUGUUUUGUUUGAAUGCUGGGUUGCUUCCUUCUCUACCGGCAUUGCAUAACUCCUAUUCAAAUUUUAAAGUCCAGUUUGCAAUUUCAUUUUGAAAUAGCAUAUUGUCUGCCAGUUUGCAAAAGAAAAUGCACACAAAAGAAAAAUCAAAUUUCAAUUUGAAUAAAUUCUACAUUUCAAAAUGUUUCUCUGUAAUUUGUCACCGUAAGUGUUGUCUAAUGCACACCUGCUAAACAGGUGCAUAGGAAAAGGAAAUAAUGUAAAAGAAAAUGUUAAUUAGUUAUUGCUGCCUGUAUAUUGUGUCAAGUAUAAAUAUGGUGUUGGUUUACUUUGUGAAUUUGAUACCUAUAAAGGUCCAUACAUUGUAAUCUAAUAAACUCUAAACUGCUGGCAGUGUGCAGGAAUUCAACUUUUUCUCUUAGUGCACUUCCAACUGCAUAACAACACAAUACGAUAAUGUAACUCUAAAGUGAUCCAAAAUCUAUUUUUUGAGUAUCAAACUCUCACUUUUAGGUAGAUUUGAAAAGUUCUAAUACUGAUUGAUCAAACACGAGUUUUUCAUGGUUAAAAUCAACAUCAAAAUGUUCUGAUACUGACACUGACACACACUCCUGCAACAAAAUCUGUCUGUAUCUAUAAAUGUUCAACUGUUUCACCAAAUUAAGGCUACAUACACUGCUUCUGUGCCUUGAUUUUACACAAGACAAACUAUAACAUUUUAAUGAAUAUUUCCACAAUUGUGGGGAAAUUAUUUGACCUGACAAUUACAACAUGUUAAGAACAAAUUAAUUUGAAAUCCAUCAACCAUGGAUAAUUACUAUGAGAGGCAGCAAAACUUCAGUGUCCAGAAAAACUGGAAAUUUGUCAUACUUAACUCUUUGUUAAUAUAUGUUGCUCACAUUUUGUAUUGGUUAGUUGUAAAUUAAGGGGAAAGGAGAAUGAAAGAAUGUGAUGUGUGUGUGUUACAUCCUUAUCCAGAUAUCUGCAGGCUCAGCACCCCCACUCUACACUAAUACUUGGCUUUUCGACAAAAAUAUCUCUCCUCUGUUGGUUUACUCCCCCCCCACCUCCAUUUCCGCCACAGCGUUAAGAGAUCUGACAUCAUGUGAUCCACCCACACAGAGCUUUGCAGUGGUGGACCUGUGACGCACAUAUUUCUUCUAUGUAACCCUUUACAAGCCAAAUCACUGUUUGUUAAUGAAGGAAACAGUGGACAUUAUUCAUGAUAUUUGGCUGAAAAUACUUUGGGAUAUUGAUUGAUUAUUAAACAUUUAGCUUAAUAAAUUGAUUGCGGAUUGACUGGCUGCUUUGUGUAUUUAUGGACAAACCUCAAACAACAUCACAUGAAAAGGGAGGAAACCAAACACAUAUUUUGUCACAUUAGUUUGUCACAUUAAAGGAACAAUUCAUCUGCAAUGUUCAGUAACAUAUUAUGUUAUAUAUUAACACCUGAUGAAACACCACAACAGUAUUUCUAAAGUGCAUUUACUGUGGCUUGAAGUGCGUUUGUAGUACACAAUAGUGAUUUUAUACAAGUGUAUAAGUGCAGUAAAUUUAGCAGGAGGGAAAAUCCUGACAAAAUGUACAGACCAUGAACAAACAGAGGUAGUAUUUUUUAAACUCUUCUAGUUAAUCAUGACAUUAAAUGGAACACUCCUGGACGAAUGAGGGACUACACCGUCUUGUUUUGAAGAAUUUUGGGCAGAAAACCUUAGAUCUGGUUCGGGAAAUCGAAAACACAGCCAGGAAAUUAGCAGACCACAGGAACCAUCUCCAUUUUAAUCUAAGAUGCAGGCAGAGCAAGAUACCUUUUCUACCAUGACAUUAAAUGUUAAAAAGGGAAAUUAAAAUACUGUAAUUAGAAAUGGAUACCAAUUUGAUAUCGAUUUAAAAAUGGAAAGUGAAAUUGGAAAAUCUAAGUGGAAAUUGAAAUGAUCAUGUGACUUGGAUGGGUGUGAAACCAGAUCCAACGAAAAAAACAACUUGAAACGGUUAACUGACCAGAGGAAGUGUUGAAAUCAGAUCAGUUUCAGAUCUCCUAAUUCUGAUGUGCAGGAAUACCACAAGUGUCUUGGCUGAGUGCAUAAAACAGAAGUAAGCAGAAAGACAUAAACCGGUUUUCUUGACCAGACAGAUGUAUAAUGAAAAUCACAACUGUUCAUGUCUGGAAUUAUGCAAGCUGGCAUUUCUAUUACAUCCUGCAGUUUAGCAAUUAUCAUUCUUACAUUAAAUAUUUAAAAAACAAAAUAGUAAUAAUAAUUUUACUAGUUUGAAAAUGUAAACAAGACAUGUACCAGUCAAAACUCACCAUGACAUCAAACCUCAAUGUACCACCUCAAUGUUUGUAGUUUCUCCCUCCUCUCCAUGGCAAUGGAACUGGUACCAAAGAUCGUCUAUUGAGAAAAUGAAUAACUCUGUAGAGAGUGAACCUACAUUCUUGACAUUGGAAACAGUAGUUUAAAAAAAAUCUUAACACAAGGUCCAUUUACAAUAUUUUUUUUUCCUGGAGCUUUUGACCAUAUCUCACGGUCUUCCUCAGCAGAUGCUCACUUGUCACGGACCGCCUAUAUCAAUAUAACUGAGCAUGACUGAAGUUCAUAUUCCCUGUUUGUCUGCUGUCAGUGACUUUAACACAUUGAGAGGCAAAACAAACUUCAUGUUAGUUGUUUUUCAAGGUAAAUGUUUGGAAAGUUGUGUUUACUUGGUUUCGUAGUGUGUGUAACUUAGGGGGUGGCCAAAUAUAGUUGCUGUGUUUUGGUAAAACCCACAAAAAUCCUCUCUCAGCCAGUGGUUAAAAGGAAAAGCAAGCUUCCUAUAUGGAAAAAUCAACAUUUGCAAUAAAGGAAAAACCCAAGGACUUUGAAAAGAUGUUGGAUAGUCAUUGAUGAAAAAUAAAAAAUAAUGCCAUGAAUUCCCUAACACACCAUUUGUUUCACUCAUUUUGCCUUUGACUGUGUGGGCAUGUACAGACUGCAACUGACCCAUGUCUUCCUCACUCCCAUUUCUCUGUUGGACCUCGAAGGGAGGAACAAUUUACACCUUAAUGACUGCUAUGAGUUUAUCAAGUUGGGUGACUACAGCUAAUUACAAGCAUAUCUCCACUUCAACCUGAGCAGAGGUCUAUAUAGCUAAUAAG